rnacentral:rRNA from 1 species
CGGAAGGAUCAUUACCGAGUUUUCGAGCUCCGGCUCGACUCUCCCACCCUUUGUGAACGUACCUCUGUUGCUUUGGCGGCUCCGGCCGCCAAAGGACCUUCAAACUCCAGUCAGUAAACGCAGACGUCUGAUAAACAAGUUAAUAAACUAAAACUUUCAACAACGGAUCUCUUGGUUCUGGCAUCGAUGAAGAACGCAGCGAAAUGCGAUAAGUAAUGUGAAUUGCAGAAUUCAGUGAAUCAUCGAAUCUUUGAACGCACAUUGCGCCCCUUGGUAUUCCGGGGGGCAUGCCUGUUCGAGCGUCAUUACAACCCUCAAGCUCUGCUUGGAAUUGGGCACCGUCCUCACUGCGGACGCGCCUCAAAGACCUCGGCGGUGGCUGUUCAGCCCUCAAGCGUAGUAGAAUACACCUCGCUUUGGAGCGGUUGGCGUCGCCCGCCGGACGAACCUUCUGAACUUUUCUCAAGGUUGACCUCGGAUCAGGUAGGGAUACCCGCUGAACUUAAGCAUAUCAAUAA